rnacentral:rRNA from 1 species
GACAGAGGUGCCGAGCGUUAGGCGGAAUCACUGGGCUUAAAGCGUGUGUAGGCGGCGGCCUAAGUACCUUGUGAAAUCCCACGGCUCAACCGUGGAACUGCUUGGUAUACUGGGUCUCUUGAGCCACCUAGAGGCAAGUGGAACAAACGGUGGAGCGGUGAAAUGCGUAGAUAUCAGGAGGAACACCGAUGGCGAAGGCAGGUCUCUGGGCUGACACUGACGCUCAGGCACGAAAGCGUGGGGAGCAAACAGG